GAUGAACGCUGGCGGCGUGCCUAAUACAUGCAAGUCGAGCGAACAGACGAGGAGCUUGCUCCUCUGACGUUAGCGGCGGACGGGUGAGUAACACGUGUAUAACCUACCUAUAAGACUGGGAUAACUUCGGGAAACCGGAGCUAAUACCGGAUAAUAUAUUGAACCGCAUGGUUCAAUAGUGAAAGACGGUUUUGCUGUCACUUAUAGAUGGAUCCGCGCCGCAUUAGCUAGUUGGUAAGGUAACGGCUUACCAAGGCAACGAUGCGUAGCCGAACUGAGAGGGUGAUCGGCCACACUGGAACUGAGACACGGUCCAGACUCCUACGGGAGGCAGCAGUAGGGAAUCUUCCGCAAUGGGCGAAAGCAUGACGGAGCAACGCCGCGUGAGUGAUGAAGGUCUUCGGAUCGUAAAACUCUGUUAUUAGGGAAGAACAAAUGUGUAAGUAACUAUGCACGUCUUGACGGUACCUAAUCAGAAAGCCACGGCUAACUACGUG
rnacentral:rRNA from 1 species